UACGUAGGGUGCAAGCGUUGUUCGGAAUCAUUGGGCGUAAAGGGCGCGUAGGUGGUUCUGUGUGUCUACCGUGAAAGCGUACGGCUCAACCGUAUUUUGUCGGUAGAAACUGCAGGACUUGAGGCUGGGAGGGGCUGGUGGAAUUCCCUGUGUAGCGGUGAAAUGCGUAGAGAUGGGGGAGAACACUCGUGGCGAAGGCGGCCAGCUAGACCAGUUCUGACACUGAGGCGCGACAGCGUGGGGAGCAAACGGG
rnacentral:rRNA from 1 species